rnacentral:rRNA from 1 species
CACAGGUAGUCGAGUGGAGAACACUAAGGUGAGCGAGAGAACUCUCGUUAAGGAACUCGGCAAAAUGACCCCGUAACUUCGGAAGAAGGGGUGCUGGCCAUGAGAGUGGUUAGCCGCAGUGAAUAGGCCCAAACAACUGUUUAUCAAAAACACAGGUCUCUGCAAAAUCGUAAGAUGACGUAUAGAGGCUGACACCUGCCCGGUGCUGGAAGGUUAAGAGGAGAGCUUAGCGUAAGCGAAGGUUUGAAUUGAAGCCCCAGUAAACGGCGGCCGUAACUAUAACGGUCCUAAGGUAGCGAAAUUCCUUGUCGGGUAAGUUCCGACCUGCACGAAAGGUGUAAUGAUUUGGGCACUGUCUCAACGAGAGACUCGGUGAAAUUAUAAUACCCGUGAAGAUGCGGGUUACCCGCGACAGGACGGAAAGACCCCAUGGAGCUUCACUGUAGCUUGAUAUUGAGUAUCUUUUAAACAUGUACAGGAUAGGUAGGAGCCAGAGAAGAUAGGACGCUAGUCUUAUUGGAGGCAAUGUUGGGAUACUACCCUUGUUUGAAGGAUGCUCUAACCUCGACCUGUAAGCCAGGCCAGGGACAGUGUCAGGUGGGCAGUUUGACUGGGGCGG